AUUGAACGCUGGCGGCAGGCCUAACACAUGCAAGUCGAGCGGAUGAAGGGAGCUUGCUCCUGGAUUCAGCGGCGGACGGGUGAGUAAUGCCUAGGAAUCUGCCUGGUAGUGGGGGAUAACGUCCGGAAACGGGCGCUAAUACCGCAUACGUCCUGAGGGAGAAAGUGGGGGAUCUUCGGACCUCACGCUAUCAGAUGAGCCUAGGUCGGAUUAGCUAGUUGGUGGGGUAAAGGCCUACCAAGGCGACGAUCCGUAACUGGUCUGAGAGGAUGAUCAGUCAUACUGGAACUGAGACACGGUCCAGACUCCUACGGGAGGCAGCAGUGGGGAAUAUUGGACAAUGGGCGAAAGCCUGAUCCAGCCACGCCGCGUGUGUGAAGAAGGUCUUCGGAUUGUAAAGCACUUUAAGUUGGGAGGAAGGGCAGUAAGUUAAUACCUUGCUGUUUUGACGUUACCAACAGAAUAAGCACCGGCUAACUUCGUG
rnacentral:rRNA from 1 species